rnacentral:lncRNA from 1 species
AAAGAACUUAGUGCGCCUAUUUGCUUAUUUACUGAUGUCAAUUUUUUAUCAGGUAUUUUCAUCUAAUUGUUGCAUUUUGUUUACCAUGCAGAAAGAAGUAGACAUUGUUUAUGGCUGGAUCACAUGGAAUACAGUGGAUAUGCAAUGGAGGGGCCUGCUCAAGUGAAGCAUGAGAUUUUGGUUCUUACCUUCUCGGUCAAUGUAAUAUCUGAUUU